CAGGCUUAACACAUGCAAGUCGAGGGGCAUCAGUUUGGUUUGCUUGCAAACCAAAGCUGGCGACCGGCGCACGGGUGAGUAACACGUAUCCAACCUGCCUCAUACUCGGGGAUAGCCUUUCGAAAGAAAGAUUAAUAUCCGAUAGCAUAUAUUUCCCGCAUGGGUUUUAUAUUAAAGAAAUUCGGUAUGAGAUGGGGAUGCGUUCCAUUAGUUUGUUGGGGGGGUAACGGCCCACCAAGACUACGAUGGAUAGGGGUUCUGAGAGGAAGGUCCCCCACAUUGGAACUGAGACACGGUCCAAACUCCUACGGGAGGCAGCAGUGAGGAAUAUUGGUCAAUGGACGCGAGUCUGAACCAGCCAAGUAGCGUGAAGGAUGACUGCCCUAUGGGUUGUAAACUUCUUUUAUAUGGGAAUAAAGUUGUCCACGUGUGGAUUUUUGUAUGUACCAUAUGAAUAAGGAUCGGCUAACUCCGUGCCAGCAGCCGCGGUAAUACGGAGGAUCCGAGCGUUAUCCGGAUUUAUUGGGUUUAAAGGGAGCGUAGGCGGAUUGUUAAGUCAGUUGUGAAAGUUUGCGGCUCAACCGUAAAAUUGCAGUUGAUACUGGCAGUCUUGAGUGCAGUAGAGGUGGGCGGAAUUCGUGGUGUAGCGGUGAAAUGCUUAGAUAUCACGAAGAACUCCGAUUGCGAAGGCAGCUACACUGGAGUGUAACUGACG
rnacentral:rRNA from 1 species